CCACAAAUAAUGAAAGAUUAAUUUACAUUUAGCAUGACUGCUAUUAUCUAAACUUCUGCCUGUAAUGUUAGUCAUUCUUUCCCUUCUCAUUUGUUCAUUUCAUAAUGUUUCUGUUGUUUUCUUAUCUAUUAACAGGACUUUUCUGCUGUAGUUUACAUCCCAAGCACCACCUGCAUGCUUCUUAUGGGUGGUGGACAUUCAGGGUUGCUGUCAUUCAAGAAGUUAUUGACCACAUCUCCUACCCUAUUGAGGCAGUAAGAUGCAAAAUACCUGAAGAAUAUGGCACUUAUCCUGGAGUUCAUAUAAAGAAAUCCUGAACGAAGGUUGAAAAGGCUGAGAUGAAGGAAACGUCCCCAUUCCUCCAAAACUGCUGAAGUUCCUGUAUGAACAACUUCGAAAAACCAGCUGGCAUCUUGAGGAGGACGACCUCGCAUCCAGUAUGCUGCUGUGGGUGCCGCAGGAUUUCGAACUCAUUCGAUCACUUGUCUCUAUGCUUUUCGAACUGUGGCGACUAAUCGUGCCUUGCUGUGGGUCAAGCCGCUGGAUCUUCAGAUCUUCUUCGAUUUGCUUAAUCCAUCCUUUUUUUGGGUGCAGUGCGCUGGAUUCUACACUGGGUUGGACGUUUCCUCCAGAGGACUUGUGUGGUAUUCAAUUUGCAUCCAUUCUGCACGUGUCCAAACAUUUCACUCUAUUGACUAGAAGUCUAAAGCAAUUUUUAAAAGCAGAAGCCUUAUCUUCAUUGCAUUUUGUUUGUUUCUGUAUUGUAUCGUAUUCUAUUAGUAUUGCAUUUGAAAAUGUUUUGAAUCUUGACUUUCACAGUUUAUGAAGUUUUUUUUUUUUUUCCAUUUUUUAAAAAUAAUUUUGUGAGCUAUUUGGUACAACACCAAUAUUGUGCAAGUACCUGCUCGUUUUCUUUUUUUUUUUUCAUUUCUCCCAUGUUUGUUUAAUGUCUUAACUUUUUCCACAAUACAAGCACUUUUUUAUGGUGCUUUAUGGUGCUUUGCACAUUGUUAAAUUGUGUGUGCCUGUCUGUGUAUAUCAAUUUUUACCCAUUGAAUGCGUUUUAACAAAAAUAAAACAUGUUCAAUAUGUAUAUAUUGUUCUUGAAUUAUUUGCUACCAAAAUAUAUGCUAUAAAAAUAGAAAUUUCUGUAUAAGGAUUAUCCGUGAAUAGUACAGAAAAUACGGAAUUUUCCAUUUUAGGUUUGACGGAAAUGUCCGUCAAUGGUACAGAAAAACUCAUGUAAAUCUACGGAAAUAUCCGUUCUAAGGUUUACGGAAGUGCCCGUACAAAAACGGAAAAAGUGCUGGUAAUUAAUUACCAGCACUUUUUCCGUUUUUUA